UAAAGAAUCUUUCGCAAUGGGGGAAACCCUGACGAAGCAACACCGCGUGGAGGAUGAAGGCGUUUUCGUCGUAAACUCCUUUUCUGAGGGAAUAACUUUGAAGGUACCUCAGGAAUAAGCAACGGCUAACUACGUGCCAGCAGCCGCGGUAAGACGUAGGUUGCAAGCGUUAUCCGGAAUUAUUGGGCGUAAAGCGUGCGCAGGUUGUUGGUUAAGUUGGAUGUCAAAAACCUGAGCUCAACUCAGGUCAGGUAUCCAAAACUGGCUAACUGGAGAGAGGUAGAGGUAUGUGGAAUUCUGUAUGUAGGGGUAAUAUCCGUAGAUAUACAGAGGAACACCAAAAGCGAAGGCAGCAUACUGGGCCUUUUCUGACACUCAUGCACGAAAGCGUGGGGAUCAAACGGG
rnacentral:rRNA from 1 species